rnacentral:tRNA from 1 species
UCCCUAGUAGCUCAGUUGGUAAAGAAUCUGCCUGCAGUGCAGGAUACCCAGGUUCGAUCCCUGGGUCAGGAA